rnacentral:rRNA from 1 species
AGCGAACGCUGGCGGCAGGCCUAACACAUGCAAGUCGAACGGAUCCUUCGGGAUUAGUGGCGGACGGGUGAGUAACACGUGGGAACGUGCCCUUUGGUUCGGAACAACUCAGGGAAACUUGAGCUAAUACCGGAUGUGCCCUUCGGGGGAAAGAUUUAUGGCGAUUGGAGCGGCCCGCGUGUGAUUAGCUAGUUGGUGAGGUAACGGCACACCAAGGCGACGAUCAGUAGCUGGUCUGAGAGGAUGAUCAGCCACACUGGGACUGAGACACGGCCCAGACUCCUACGGGAGGCAGCAGUGGGGAAUCUUGCGCAAUGGGCGAAAGCCUGACGCAGCCAUGCCGCGUGAAUGAUGAAGGUCUUAGGAUUGUAAAAUUCUUUCAGCGGGGACGAUAAUGACGGUACCCGCAGAAGAAGCGCCGGCUAACUUCGUG